UACGAACUGUGCGAACGUUAUUCGGAAUCACUGGGCUUACAGCGUGCGUAGGCGGUCCGCGAAGUCUGAUGUGAAAGCCCCGGGCUCAACCUGGGAACUGCAUUGGAAACUAACGGGCUCGAGUGUGGCAGAGGGGGGUGGAAUUCCACGUGUAGCAGUGAAAUGCGUAGAGAUGUGGAGGAACACCGAUGGCGAAGGCAGCCCCCUGGGCUAACACUGACGCUCAGGCACGAAAGCGUGGGGAGCAAACAGG
rnacentral:rRNA from 1 species